CGUAGGGUCCAAGCGUUACCCGGAAUCACUGGGCGUAAAGCGUGCGUAGGUGGCGCGUUAAGUGAGAUGUUAAAACGUGGGGCUCAACCCUGUCGGUGCAUCUCAUACUGGCGUGCUAGAGGACAGCAGAGGCAAGUGGAAUUAGCAGUGUAGCAGUGAAAUGCGUAGAUAUUGCUAGGAACACCAAUGGCGAAGGCAGCUUGCUGGGCUACUCCUGACACUGAGGUACGAAAGCGUGGGGAGCGAACAGGAUUAGAUACCCUGGUAGUCCACGCCGUAAACGAUGCAUACUAGACGUAUGGGGUAUCGACCCCCUGUGCGUCGAAGUUAACGCAUUAAGCACUCCGCCUGGGGAGUACGGCCGCAAGGCUA
rnacentral:rRNA from 1 species